GCUGUACUGUUCAUAGCUCUUUGACAUGCAAAUGGUCCCAAUUAGCUGGGCAAGGUUCUUCUAUUUGAUCCCCUGCUUUGCAUUAUGGCCUUUGCAUUAUUGUCAUAUGGCAAACUCGGUUCUUUCCCGUGGCUUUGGAACAGCACCUGCUUCUGUAUCAGUCAUUAGGAAAUGUGAAACUCAGCAGACAGGAGAGGAAAGAGCUCCUCAUACUUCUAGUCUCAGGAAGAGAAACCCACACUUGCCCCAGCUCCCUGACCCUGUCUGCCUCUUGCCACUGUGCAGGGCAUCCUGCUGCCUCCUUUCAAUGGCAAAGUCCUCAAUAUUCCCUUCUGCAGAACUCGGAGCCCUGCAAGCACAGUGCCACAACAAGCAGCAGGACUUGUCCUGUUGGAUCCCAGUGACUGUGCUUGAGGCCAACCUGAAAAUGAUGAGGUGA
rnacentral:lncRNA from 1 species